GCCAUGCAGAGGGACCUAUUAAAGUCAUAUUGGUAGGCAAAAAGGCUUAAGAAGCAAUCUUCUAUCUCUAAAGGGAGAGUUAGGGGGACGGUGCCAAGGUGGGGUCGGGCACCGCCACAUACAUAACAUGCUGUUUUAUUAUGUUUGUUAGCAUUAUACCUCAUCCAUUCUUACCACAAAUUAAUGUCAUUGAAUCCAGUUUCAGCGGCCAUGGUAUCUUCAAAAGUGGGGUUAGCGAUGGCCAUCAUAUCUUUAAAGGACUGGAUAUGUGGUUUUAGCGGAUUUGGGACCAUAUGAUCAGCCCCUUGCCAUUCUGGAGAGUGGUACAUAUCUCUGAGGUAGAAAUGACCUAAUUUGUUGUAGGAACCUUUCUUCCAAUACAUUCCCAUUACAUAUCGGUCUGCAUCCUCGGGGCCAGGAUGUUCAAUAUUUAACAUUAAUUUCAUAGGGGUACUUCCUCCAGGCUUUCUUAAAGUCAUUCUUUGAAGGAGGGAUCUACCCUGAUUGUCUAUCUUAGAUAAAGCACUUUUGGGUUUAUAACCCCGGGCAGGCCCAGUAUUCCAUCCCGCAGCCCCCCAGUAGUUACAGUCACAACCCCAUUGUUCAUCUACUACACAAACGUAAGGGUCUUUUGCUUGUGGUAUAUCUUUAUAAAUGGCUUGAAUCUGUGACUUAGGGAAUGGGCACUCUACAAUAUCACAGUAAUCAAAAGUGAAUGUAGCCA